rnacentral:rRNA from 1 species
AUUGAACGCUGGCGGCAUGCUUUACACAUGCAAGUCGAACGAGUGGCGCACGGGUGAGUAAUACAUCGGAACGUGUCCUAUCGUGGGGGAUAACUGAUCGAAAGAUCAGCUACUACCGCAUACGAUUUGAGCGGCCGAUGCCCGAGUAGCUAGUUGGUGAGGUAAAGGAUAACCAAGGCGACGAUCGGUAGCUGUUCUGAGAGGACGACCAGCCACACUGGGACUGAGACACGGCCCAGACUCCUACGGGAGGCAGCAGUGGGGAAUUUUAGACAAUGGGGGCAACCCUGAGCCAGCCAUGCAGCGUGCAGGAUGAAGGUCUUCGGAUUGUAAACGGCUUUUGUAAGGGAAGCGGUACCUGAAGAAUAAGCACCGGCUAACUACGUGCCAGCCGCCGCGGUAAUAC